rnacentral:rRNA from 1 species
CAAUGUUCCGUAGGUGAACCUGCGGAAGGAUCAUUG